AGCGAACGCUGGCGGCAGGCUUAACACAUGCAAGUCGAGCGGGCGUAGCAAUACGUCAGCGGCAGACGGGUGAGUAACGCGUGGGAACGUGCCUUUCGGUUCGGAAUAACCCAGGGAAACUUGGGCUAAUACCGGAUACGCCCUUCGGGGGAAAGAUUCAUUGCCGAAAGAUCGGCCCGCGUCGGAUUAGCUAGUUGGUGGGGUAAAAGCCUACCAAGGCGACGAUCCGUAGCUGGUCUGAGAGGAUGACCAGCCACACUGGGACUGAGACACGGCCCAGACUCCUACGGGAGGCAGCAGUGGGGAAUAUUGGACAAUGGGCGCAAGCCUGAUCCAGCCAUGCCGCGUGGGUGAAGAAGGCCCUAGGGUUGUAAACCCCUUUCAGCGGGGAAGAUAAUGACGGUACCCGCAGAAGAAGCCCCGGCUAACUCCGUGCCAGCAGCCGCCGUAAAC
rnacentral:rRNA from 1 species